rnacentral:rRNA from 1 species
CCGGUAAACGGCGGCCGUAACUAUAACGGUCCUAAGGUAGCGAAAUUCCUUGUCGGGUAAGUUCCGACCUGCACGAAUGGCGUAAUGAUGGCCAGGCUGUCUCCACCCGAGACUCAGUGAAAUUGAACUCGCUGUGAAGAUGCAGUGUACCCGCGGCAAGACGGAAAGACCCCGUGAACCUUUACUAUAGCUUGACACUGAACAUUGAGCCUUGAUGUGUAGGAUAGGUGGGAGGCUUGGAAGUGUGGACGCCAGUCUGCAUGGAGCCGACCUUGAAAUACCACCCUUUAAUGUUUGAUGUUCUAACGUUGACCCGUAAUCCGGGUUGCGGACAGUGUCUGGUGGGUAGUUUGACUGGGGCGGUCUCCUCCUAAAGAGUAACGGAGGAGCACGAAGGUUGGCUAAUCCUGGUCGGACAUCAGGAGGUUAGUGCAAUGGCAUAAGCCAGCUUGACUGCGAGCGUGACGGCGCGAGCAGGUGCGAAAGCAGGUCAUAGUGAUCCGGUGGUUCUGAAUGGAAGGGCCAUCGCUCAACGGAUAAAAGGUACUCCGGGGAUAACAGGCUGAUACCGCCCAAGAGUUCAUAUCGACGGCGGUGUUUGGCACCUCGAUGUCGGCUCAUCACAUCCUGGGGCUGAAGUAGGUCCCAAGGGUAUGGCUGUUCGCCAUUUAAAGUGGUACGCGAGCUGGGUUUAGAACGUCGUGAGACAGUUCGGUCCCUAUCUGCCGUGGGCGCUGGAGAACUGAGGGGGGCUGCUCCUAGUACGAGAGGACCGGAGUGGACGCAUCACUGGUGUUCGGGUUGUCAUGCCAAUGGCACUGCCCGGUAGCUAAAUGCGGAAGAGAUAAGUGCUGAAA